rnacentral:piRNA from 2 species
UCAAUUAGAAAAAGGAAAUUUGGAUG